UCUCUCUCUCGGUGAACCCUAGCUUUGUUAUGUGCAUAUUUUCAACCCUAACAAGCUUCGUCUACCCGAGGGCUGAAACCCUAGGGUUUUGGCCGCCAUGUCUUUUUCACUGCCGUGUCUGUCUCAAUCACCGGUGACCUUUUGGUAAGUCUCUCUCCUGAUCUGUGAACAAUGAAUGUAAAUGUGUUAGAUCUAGUGAUUUGGUGAACUGGGUCUCUUGCUUGGAUAGAUCUGGUAGAUCUAGUGAAAUAUCGAGUGGGAGUUUCAAGGUUUUUUUGGGAUUUCUCUUUUUCUAUCUUAGUGGGUUUUUUUUUUUUUUUUGGGUUCGGUUCUUGUUCUUUAUUUCUUUUUUUCCUUACAAUCUGAACAAAUCUCGAUAGAUUUGAAGAGAUUUUGUUUAGAUUUGAGUCAUUAAGAAAAUCUCGGUUCUUGUUCUUUAUUUCUUUUUUUUUUUCGAAUGGUUGUGCUAGCAUUUAAAGUGUUUGGUAGGUUUGCCUUGUUAGGGCUUACUUUGUUAUAGGUAGUUUCGCCUUCUUCCCUGAAUCUUGUGUAUGUUGAUACCUUAUCCCCUUUGCUCUGUCCAUUUAUAUAUUCUGUAGGAGGAAAAGGGUUCGAGCGAAAUUGUCUUCAAGGCAAUGGGAAGAGCCAUUAACAAGACCGUGACAAUUGUGGAGUUAAUAAAGAGAAGAAUUGUUGGCCUUCAUCAUAAUACUUCAAUUGGAUCCACCGACAUAACUGAUACAUGGGAGCCCCUAGAGGAAGGCCUCCUUCAAUUGGAAACCACUGAU